CCCCGCUUCCGGGCGGCCCCUGGCGGCGAAGGGGACGCUGCAACGCGGAGCGGGAGCACGAGGAGGGAAGGGGCUUGGCAAUGGGCCCCAAAGAGGCCGAGACCCCGGGAGUGCCGGCAGCGCUCUUUAUCACGCCUGGAGGCUCCUGCAGAGCCCCGGAACCGCCCGAACCUCCAGAAAUGCAGGCAGGGUGCACUCCCCAGGGGGUACAACUUUGGCAAUGAGGACUACAGAGGUCCGGGGAGAACCGGAGACCCGAGGAGCAUGAAGGCACUCUGUGACAUCACUGCCUACAAACGCAGGGGCCGGAAUGCAGUGACAGGACACUGCUGGGAGGAAAGUCUCCCAGCGCCUCCGUGUGGGGCUGCCUCCACUCCCAAUACCGUGCGGGGGGACUAGGACGACCCUGCAUUUCCAAUUAAUCUUGGAAUGAGAGCCGAGGGCAAGAAGCCAGCGGUGCCUGAGGGAUGCUAAAGAGCCAACCGAUCCAGGGAAACAAAUGCCAGCGAGGGACCCCACAGCAAAGAGACAGACACUGUGAGCAACUCUCCUGUUACCAUGAGGCUUGCGAGGCGUGUGUGCGGGUCUCCGCAUUGGCACCAUCUGCCAAUUCCUCAGGAGGACAGAACAAACCAGUGAGGCAUGAAGAUUAGAUUAUGUAACGCUCGAGGAUUGCUGUUUUCAAAGAGGAAACAAAUGGAAUGAAUUGAUUUGCUUGUCAAAGUCAUGUCACUAAAGGAGAUCUAUUCCCUCCCCUUCUAAGAGGACCUCAUUAAAGAGUGGAAUGAUUUCACAGAUUCAGAAAAUGUGAGACCACAAUCCACUCCAUUCAUAAGAGCAAGUCCACUUUCCAGAGUCACACUCACACAUUCUAUUCUGGUCCCCGGGCCUGAAAAAAUGUCCAUCCAGCUACAACCUAAAGGGUACUGACCUGGUGAGGAACAUAAUUGUCAGCUGCUAGCCAUAAGAUUCAGAGCCGGAGGCCAGGCGUCAUGGCUUAUGCUGGUAAUCCCAGCACUUUGGGAGGCCGAGGUGGGUGGAUCAUGUGAGGUCGGAAGUUCAAGACAGCCUGGCCAACACGGUGAAACCUCGUCUCUACUAAAAAUACAAAAAUUACCUGGGCGUGGUGGCACACACCUGUAACCCCAGCUACUUGGGAGGCCAACGCCUGAGAAUCACUUGAGCCCAAGAGGCAGAGGUUGCAGUGAGCCAAGAUCACACCACCGCACUCCAGCCUGGGGGACAGAGUGAGACGCUGUCUCAAAAAAAUAAAAAUAAAAAAUCAGAACCUGUGAGUUUUGCCUGAACUUUCUUGCUUCUGGGGAAGCAGUGUCUCGUUCUGAGACCAGUGGGAUUGUAUUCACUAUUCAGAGCUCUAAACAAGUGCUCUUGAUAGAGGAGGGGUGUGUUCUUAAAAAUAUAGCAUCAGAAAAAAAAAAUAUAUAUAUAUAUGCAUCAGGAAGGAAAAUGCAUUGAUUUCUCAGAGUGCUUUGCCAUUGCUGGGCUUCUCUCAAAUGCCCAGCACAAUACUUUUUCUAGUAUCCUCAGGAGAUCUGAGGAAUGAACAAAUGAGAACCCUGAACCUGCUGCCAUAGUUCCAUCCCUUAAGGUUUCACAGCCUCCCUAAGAUACCAGGAUUUAAAUAUCAAGUCUUUAUCCAGGAUGCAAAUGAAGUCUCCUGUACCAGAUAGUUUCCAUUUGCCCUCCAGAUCCACUCUUCCACCCUUCUCCGUGCUGCCCUUGGCCCUGGCGGGCUGACCUACAUGGACUGCAGCAGCUCACUCUCCUGCCCUCUAGCUUCCAGGCGGGUACAGCCAAUGGGAGCGGCAGCAGGAGAUGGGAGGGCAGGAGGACAGCAUGGGUGAAGUGUUUCUUUCCCCACUUCCCUCCUGCCAGAUGGCCUUAGGUUGGUUGUGCCUUUUGAUAAAAGGUCACCCCUCUUUCUCAAGGCAGCCUGCUCUACACAACUCUCUCUGGGUUCUGUCAUUUCUCCCUCCCCUCAACCUUCAGAUCUAAGAGUGGUAAAGGCCCCAUGGCUACUGCACUAUCCCUUAUAGCUUCCCCACUUUCUGCUUCAACCUUGUAAAUAGCCCAUUUAUUAAAUAUUCUUCUAAUGAUCUAAUUUGAAUGCGCCAUCUGUUUCUUAUACAGACCCUGCCUGACAUACCUUUCACACGUGACAGUCUAUUCUAGGCCCUACACCACGUUAAAAAGAAAAAGUAGGGCUGGGUGCAGUGGCUCAUGUCUGUAAUCCCAGCACUUUGGGAAGCCGAGGCAGGCGGAUCACGAGGUCAGGAACUCGAGACCAGCCUGGCCAACAUGGCGAAACCCCGUCUCUACUAAAAAUACAAACAUUAGCUGGGCAUGGUAGCGGGUGUCUGUAAUCCCAGCUACUCGGGAGGCUGAGGCAAGAGAACUGUUUGAACCCAGGAGGCGGAGGUUGCAGUGAGCCAAGAUUGCGCCAUUGUACUCCAGCUUGGGCAACAGGGGAGUCUCUGUCUCAAAAAAAAAAAAAGAAAAAGAAAAGUAGCAAAAUUAACAAUACAAUAUGCUACCACUUCAUGUAGUUAUUCUCAAUGUUCACCUUUUCCCAAGGCUAUAAUAACAACUUAAAGAUAAAACUUAAUUCCCCUUUACAACAUAAUUGUGCAGUAGAGUUUGUAUGAGCUACAUAUAAUUCAGAGAACAAGCAUUCUCAUGCCAUCAAAAUUCAUGUUAACAACUAUAAAGAGAAAACCCUAGAAUUGAGGCCCCUGACUUUCAAUGUAGCAGAAAAUAUAUUUCAGUAUUUAAAUCUAUCUAACAGAUAUUUGAAAGUCUACUAUAUGUCCAGCAAGGUGGUGAUCUUACAGUGGGGGAAAAACAUGGACGUGGCCCCUGCCUUUUUGAAACUUAGUCUUGUUUUCUAAAAUAAAUAUGCUUCUAGGCCGAGCUCAGUGGCUCACACCUAUAAUCCUAGCACUUUGGGGGUGCUGAGGUGGGAGGA
rnacentral:lncRNA from 10 species